GGGGACGCAUGGGUUCGACAGGGGAUGGCCCUGGAGGAUCGCAGGCCGAGGUGCCGUCCACCUCGCUAAUCAGGCGGCGAAAAAGUAACUGGCGAGCGCGAAUUCGCUCUAGCCGCUUAAGAAGCGGCUCGUCUGCCCCCGUCUCCCCCGAAGGCGGGAAGCAGGCGACACAAAAUCGGGGUGCAGCCUAGCCCGACGCCUCUGAGGUAAGGCCCAAGAAAGAAGAGGCUGGCCCUUCCCUGAUUCCGCAGGCCGAAGCGGGGAGGGUGAGAAUAAAAGGCCUGACAAGCCUGUAGCAUAUCCUAUCGGGGAGUCUUCUGGACGGGGAGUUCGACUCUCCCCCGUCUCCACCA
rnacentral:tmRNA from 1 species